rnacentral:rRNA from 1 species
GAUUUCUGGUUUGGGUGCAUUUGGCCCGCUUCGGUUACGGAGUUGAGUGCCGUUUUGCACCCGCCAUCCUUCUAGGGUACGACUCUCCCUUCACUGGGUUGGGCCGGAACCUAGAUCAUUUACUUUGAAAAAAUUAGAGUGUUUCAAGCAGGCUUUAUGCUAUGAAUACAUUAGCAUGGAAUAAUAAUUUAGGACUUCGGUUCUAUUUUGUUGGUUUCUAGGACUGAAGUAAUGAUUGAUAGGGAUAGUUGGGGGUGCUAGUAUUCAGCGGCCAGAGGUGAAAUUCUCGGAUUCGCUGAAGACUAACUUAUGCGAAAGCAUU